UUUAAACAGUGUGUGCAACAUGCCGCUACUUCCCACUCCCCUUCAUGAGCAUCAAGCACCUGCAUUGAGUAAUGCAAGAGUGAGAUGAAACAUCUCAGUAAGCAAAUUGUUUUGACGAUAUAUUUAAACCACAAAUUGUAUUAAUCAACAUUUUAAAGGAAUCACAAUUAAGAUCAGAAAAUACGUGUAGAUAUAGAACCCAAUAGUCCUAAUAUAACCAAUACCAUCUCAUUUCUUCGAACAAGCACAAUAGGUUGUAUAACACUUCCCUGCGUCAACAAUACCUGUAAAUAUCACUUCAAUGUAUACAUAGGAAUGCAAUGUGUAGGUCCUCUGCCUUCAUACCUGUGAUAGUAUAAAACCACAGCCUCUGCAAAUAUCACUUCAAUGAAUGCAUAUGAAUGCAAUGCAUAUGUUCUCUGCCUUCAUACCUCUAAGGGUAUGAAGCCGCAUCGUACCCCUCCUCGGGCAACGUACGAUGCUAAGUUGUACCGGUACGGUCGGACCAUAGGUCACGACAAAAUUUCAGAUGCAAGUGAAUCAUGCAAUGUAUAUGGCAUGCUGCAUUUAUCAAUAUACAUCACUUCCUUCACAUACAAUACAAACCUCAAAUAAUACUUCGUUUACCUUCAGAUACAAUACAAACCUCAAAUAAUACUUCGUUUACCUUCAGGGGUGUGAAUUAAUCUCCUGGGUCAUACUCGAAUCAUAAUCAUCAUCAAUAUAUGGUUGAGCAUCAGUAUAAUACAAGCAAGUAAAGCAUCACCAUAGAGUUUAAUUAUGAAAGAACUCCAUAAUUCUGAAUAUUAGAGUGUAGGCGAUAAAAAACAACAAGUCAAAACGAUAGCAACCACCACUACAUUCACUUGCCUUCAUCGAAGAAGAAAAGUGUACUAGGAAUGAUCCAGAGUGUAGCCACCUGCAAGAGGAUAUAAAACCAAGUACAAAUAUUUCAGAAACAUUUGCCAACAAUCAACAAAUCGCUCCUAUACUUGAAACCAAGACCCGGUGAAAAGACUCCCACCCUGAACCACAUGCCAAACAGCAGCAGCGCUGUUUGUUAAUUUUGUAUCUUUAAAAUUAUAACAGUGGUGAUAUCAAACAAAUACUCUAGGAGUAUCUACACAAAGUACUCUACAACUUCGAUAUUCAAUGGAUAAUUAAAUUCUGCCAUCUAUAAGUUCUAAAACAUCUGACAAGAUAACUGACUGAAUCUGUUUCACACAGCAGCAUAGUUAACUUCAAAAUUCGAUAUCUCCAAAACUACUCAACCAAAAAUUAUGAAAUUCUGCUGGAAGUAAGAACUUUUAUCCCUCUACAUAAGUCGAUAUAGUUGGAACAGCCAAUUCGGCAAUUUACUAGAUGAAAUCCACCAGUGAAUAGACCCGCUCAUUUUUGUCAGGCAAACAGGAACAGCCACAGUAAAACAAACAUAACUGGAGUUUCAUAAUUCAUAUGAAUGCACUCUUUAACAAUCUGGAAAGCUUAUAAAAUUAUCUACAACUUAUUUUACCAAACGAAAGUUUAAUUCUGUUUAUAAAAUUGCCUAAAACUUAAGAGAACAGAUUCUGCACGGAAUUAUGAGACUGAAAAACUGCUAUAACUUUCUGAUCUGAUGUCCGAUUGAGGUGUUCUUCGCGGCCACGGAAAGAUCUACAAAUUGUCUACAACUCAUAGAUAGACUUUUUAUUUUUUUUGAGGCCACUAAGACCACGGAAAACUAUCAUGAACAGAAAUUGUCGAAUCUACCAUUCUGCAGAAACUAAAUUCGAGAUCAAAACCUAACCCCACAUCUAAUCCAACCUCUAAUCCUUUAAUCCGCAUGAUGCACGACCUCCAAAAGCAUAUAAUUACAGGGAGGAACAAGGAUCCCAUCCUUACCUUGGGUUUCUCCAAGAAAAUCUGCAAGAGAUGGGGUAGAACAUCUCCUUGAUCCUCUCUUCCUCUUCAAUUCAACGUGCUCCUCCUCUUCUCGAUCCUUGCUGCGUGGGGGAGAUCUAGAGGGAGGAGGAAGCCAUGGAGAGGGUAGGGGCAGCUGCCAAUGGGGAAGAGAGGAAGAGAGGGAGGGGGCCGGCGGCCAAAGGGGUGGAAAGGGUGGGGGGCGACUGCAACCAUUGGGGAGAAGGAGAGGGGGUCAGCUAGGGUUGGGGAGGAGAGGGGGGCUCCCAUCCAUCGGAUCGAGAUCAAUGGCCCAUACUCGCUCUCCCAUUUGAGCUCCCGACCCCAGCGGAAAAAAAGCCAAAAGAUCUUGUAACACCCCGGGUUCCACAAACAACCCAGAAUGCUACUGAACUACACUUCUGACGUCCAUAUAUAAAAUUUCGGCAGCAUCCCCUUUGCAAGAUUGCAUAAAUAAGGGGGCAACAGGGUAUGAACAUAUAUCAUGACAAAAACAUACUAAGUAUUAUUAAUCGGCUAGCAAGGGAAGAUAAACGUAUGACCUGAACUGAAUUAACCAGUACGCAUGACUAUAUAAAAAAACAACUUCCUUUGACAAUAAGUUUCUAAUUAAAUCAUGGCUGCGCCUGGGCAGCGUUAUUGUGAGAGUGUAAGUGGACGUGCUGCUACUCCCCUCAUUCCCAACAUGUAUCAAGUACCUGCAUUGAGUAAUGCAAGAGUGAGAUGACACAUCUCAGCAAGUAAAAUAAUAUCAAACUAUUCAACCACAUAAAAACAUUGUUUUACCACCACCUGAUUCCACAACCUUCUUAUUACCAAGGUGUAGCACGUAUACAACGUGCAACACACCUAGUUACCACACCUCGCAGGUAGAAACCACAAUAGUAACAUAGUAAUGUCACACUUCAUAUAUUCCUCAUGAAUGCAAAUGUCUGCAAAUGCAAGGAUGACUUCUGCCUUCAUACCUCUAAGGAUAUGAAGCCGCAUCGUACCCCUCCUCGGGCAACGUACGAUGCUAAAAAAAUGUACCGGUACGGUCGGACCAUAAGAUCACGACAUAACUUCAAAAUGCAAGAUGGAUGAUGCGAUGUGCAUGUCAUGCCUACAACACUUCAUAUAACGUGAUUCAAAAAGAUACUUCAACUUCAUCCAAGAUGGGAAUCAACCACAUAUAUCAUAACCAAAUUAUGAUCAUCCACAAUAUUAGACAAUUGAGAAUUAAUACUUCCAAACAAAUAAACUUCAUCAUAGAAUUCAAUGAUUAACAUAAUUAAAAACUUAUGCAUACUCAAUGACAGGGAAUAGGAUGCAAACCAAACGGUAGCAACCACCACUAUAUUUACUUGCCUUUACCGGAAGUUCGGGCAAAUCCCUAAGUACGAUCCGGAAGUCCACCACCUGUUUUUGACACACAACUUAGUGCACCUAUUUCACAUAAUCAGGCUCAUAAACGACGCCGCACCUACGCACAAACUCAAACCCCGCCGCGGGUUACAUCUCUCCCCACACCCACCAAACUGCAGCGACACUGCUUAAUAAUUUCAUAACUUUAAAAUUAUGACAACAGUGGUAACAAACAAAAACUCCAGAGGCAUCUACAUAAAAUUCCCCACAAGUUUUGUAUACAAUUUAUAAUUAAAGUCUAACAUCUAAUUAGCCCAAAACAGUCCACAAGAUGAACCCUGUAAUCUGUUUUUUUGUCUUUUGGACAGCGACAUACCCGGAUUCAAACAGCGAUAUCUUUUAAAAUAUAAUUCCAAAUCAAGCGCAUAAGUACUCAUUAGAAAGAUAAGACAAAGCCCUACAUGAUUAUCAUACUGGUUAACACUAAUUACCCACGAAAAAUUCACAGAAACUGCUAAUACUACUGCUGUUCACCCACCUGAAAAAUCUGUUUUUUUUGGACAGCAACAUAACCGGAUUCAAACAACGAUAUCUCCUAAAAUAUAACUCCGAAUCGAGCGCAUAAGUACUCGUUGGAAAGGUAUGACAAAGAUCUACAUGAUUCUCAUAUUGAUUAUCACUAAUUUUCCACGAAAAAUCCCCAGAAACUGCUAAUACUACUGCUGUUCAUCCACCUGAAAAUCUGUUUUUUUGGACAGCAACAUAACCGGAUUCAAACAACGAUAUCUCCUAAAUUAUAACUCCGAAUCGAGCGCAUAAGUACUCGUUGGAAAGGUAUGACAAAGCUCUACAUGAUUCUCAUAUUGAUUAUCACUAAUUUCCCACGAAAAAUCCCCAGAAACUGCUAAUACUACUGCUGUUCAUCCACCUGAAAAUCUGUUUUUUUGGACAGCAACAUAACCGGAUUCAAACAACGAUAUCUCCUAAAUUAUAACUCCGAAUCGAGCGCAUAAGUACUCGUUGGAAAGGUAUGACAAAGCUCUACAUGAUUCUCCCACUGAUCCCCACUAAUUGUCCACGAAAAAUUCCCAGAAAUCCCUAGAACUACUGCUGUUCGUCCUCCCACAAAAAAUCUGGACAGCACCUAUACCGAUUCGCAUAGGUAAACAUGUAAACAAUUGGAUUGCAGCACAAAUACUAAAAAGAAUGAUCUUAAAAUCACCUUGGGUUCCUCCUUUCCUCCUUCCAUUCUUCCUUCUUCCUCCCUCCAAACUCCAAUGGAAGACUCGCACCCACACGACGGGGUACCAAGCGGGGAGGAUGCACCAUGGAGAGGAGGAGGAGGGGGGGCGGCUAGGGUUGAGGGGUGGUGCUGCAAUCACUUGGGGGAGAAGGAGAGGGAGAG
rnacentral:lncRNA from 1 species